rnacentral:tRNA from 1 species
GCCUUGCUAGCUCAAUGGUAGAGCAAUUGACUCUUAAUCAAGAGGUUGGAGGUUCGAAUCCUCCGCAAGGCA